UACGUAGGGGGCAAGCGUUGUCCGGAUUUAUUGGGCGUAAAGAGCUCGUAGGUGGUUCGGUAAGUCGGAUGUGAAAUCUCCAGGCUCAACCUGGAGGGGUCAUUCGAUACUGCCGUGACUAGAGUUCGGUAGGGGAGUGUGGAAUUCCUGGUGGAGCGGUGAAAUGCGCAGAUAUCAGGAGGAACACCAAUUGCGAAGGCAGCUCGCUGGAACGUAACUGACGCUGAGACGCGAAAGCGUGGGGAGCAAACAGG
rnacentral:rRNA from 1 species